UACACCCCAAAGUGGGAUUGCUUGGUUUUCUGAGGAACCUAGGAAUUAUCUUUUAUUUUUCUUAUUUUGCAGAUUAGCAAACUGAGGCUCUGAGAGAGACUCUGCAAUUAGGGCUUGACUAUAACCUGGUUAAUAAGUAAUAAAAAAAAGGUAACGUUUACUAAGCUCGUACUACGUGCCAGAUGCUGUUCUGUUUUAAUGCAUUAUUGCCUUUAAUUCUCAGUAACAAUCCUGUGGAAUGUUGUUACCAUUUCCCUGUCCCCACCUCCUUUUUGCAGAUGAUAAAAGGAUGCAUAGAGAGAUUAGGACAACUGCGUAAGGCUAACAGGUGCCAGUGGUAGGUUUUAAACCCAGAGAGUUAGGCUCUGUAGAACUUACACCUCAAUAUUUACAUAAGCAACAUGAUUUAGUAUAAUAGCUUGGAAACUCAAGACUCCAUUUUGAGCCCUGAAUCUGCCUCUCAUCUUUUUGCUACUUAAAGUGUGGUCCACGGACCAACAGCCUUAGCCUCACUUGGGAGCUGUUAGAAAUACAGGAUCUGAGCUCCACCCCAGACUGACUGGAUCAGAAUCUUCAUCUUACUUAGAUCUCCAGAUGAUUCACCUGCUCACUGAAGGAGGUUGGACCAUAUCUCCUGGGCUAUGUUUUGCUCAAAGAGGCCUCUAUACUCCUCCUUCCCAGUCCAGGCUGCAGAGACCAUGGAGCCCAGGGUACAGGAGGGAGAGGAGCCCAAAUGUCAGAAUGCACCCAUGUCUGAGGUCAUCCUUCCUUUGAAAUACCUGCCACGAUGACUGCAGCUCCUGCAGGUUUCCCUCCCCAGGUCCCGUGGGAAGAUGUCCGUUAUCUCUUUGAUGAGAUCAUGUAUGGAGGCCACAUCACAGAUGACGGGGAUUGCAAACUGUGUCGGGUGUAUUUAGAAGAAUUCAUGAAUCCAUCUCUGCUAGCUGCCCUGUCAGGAACACAUGCAUGUGGUGAAAAACCGAGACUUCCAGCCAACAGCCAUGUGAGCGAGCCAUCUUGGAAGUGGAUCCUCCAGCCCCAGUCAAGCCUUCAGAUGACUGCAGCUUUGGCCAACAUCUUGACUGCAACUUCCUGAGAGACCCUGAGCAAGAAUCACACCAUGAAGAUGUUCCUAGUUUUCUGAUUCUCAGAAACUGGCUGCCAUGUGAAGAAGGACAUGUUUGCUUCCACUUCUGCCACGAUUCAGUGUGAGAAUGGACUAAUACAGGGUCUGUGUUGGACAGGAAGGACAUGAAGAGAGGAAGGGCUGGUGGAGAGAAUGCAGAGUAGUCAUAAGACACGAGCCUCCUCUGAUGGUCGACUUUGCCUUGAGAACUCAGAUGACCUUGCCAGAAUCUUCUUAGAUAGCUUGGAACUCUAGAACAUUUCUACUCACCCUUCUUCCUUCUCCCAUUCACUCAAGGCCAGACCUGCAAUGUGAUCUGACAACUCCCAGCCUUACAAGGUUCUCUUCCAAUUUUCUCUCACAGGGAUUUUCCCUAAUAAAAUCAUCACACAUUUAA
rnacentral:lncRNA from 1 species